rnacentral:rRNA from 1 species
AUUGAACGCUGGCGGCAGGCCUAACACAUGCAAGUCGAACGAGUGGCGGACGGGUGAGUAAUGUCUGGGAAACUGCCCGAUGGAGGGGGAUAACUACUGGAAACGGUAGCUAAUACCGCAUACCAUCAGAUGUGCCCAGGUGGGAUUAGCUAGUAGGUGGGGUAAUGGCUCACCUAGGCGACGAUCCCUAGCUGGGCUGAGAGGAUGAACAGCCACACGGGAACUGAGACACGGUCCAGAGUCCUAGGGGAGGCAGCAGUGGGGAAUAUUGCACAAUGGGCGCAAGCCUGAUGGAGCCAUGCCGCGGGGAUGAAGAAGGCCUGCGGGUUGUAAAGUACUUUCAGCGGGGAGGCGUUACCCGCAGAAGAAGCACCGGCUAACUCCGUGCCAGCCGCCGCGGUAAUUC